UGUAAUAUGUUGAUGUGCACAAGCCUAUUUUUAUCUAACAGGACAAAUAUACUUGGGUUUUCUCCAUCAAACCAACACAGUAUUUCCAUGUCAGAGGGGCAUUAUAUCCUCGCAGUUUGUACCAGCCAGUGCAUAAGGAAUGAUGCUAUUAAUUCUCUUGGGCAAUCUUCAGGUCUGAUUAUUGGUGAAAUAAAUUUGCAUGCUGAAUAUGAGAAUCUUAUUAAUGCUGACGUCAAGAAAGGUUGGUAAUGGAUAUUUCAGAGGGAAAGAACAUGUGCCCACGUGUGCUAAAGUCAGCCUGAACUGGUUCUCUGGUCUGUUCAGUUCAAGUGGAAGAACUAAAAGAUUUCUAGCAUGAGCUGAGACUGUAAGACUCUACACAUCCCAGUUGGAUGAUAGAAUUAUAGCCAGAUCUUCAUCAACCUGUGUUAUAGCCUGCCACUUGAAGAUGAAUGGAAGCAACCGAGAGAGCUUGCAUCUUUGGAUUUUCCUCUCUGUGCAUGUGGUAAUGCCUUACUCCACUGCUCCACUCUGUCUGAAACUAAAUGUGCAAAAGCAUUAUUCUUUUGUUAGACUUUUGCUCCCUCCAUAUAACAGUUAUUGAUUUAAAUGCUAGAAUUGUUCAUCACUUGAAAACGCCUGGUCUCAGAAUUUUAUCAUCCAAGCCACUAGAUGGUAGCUAACUCAGACAAAAAAAAACACUUAGCCUGUGUUUGUCUCACUUAAAUUACCAGUUAAUCAGAAAGCAGCACUAAUAGUUCUUCCAGAGAAGUCUGCAACCAAAAUCAUUUUUUCUUUUCUAGAUUAAAAAUGAAUCCCUUGCUACUUUAAAAGAUGAAGGUGAACAAUGGUAGGACGUGAAAGCAAAUCUCUCAAUCAUAAUUUUAAAACAACAGGAGUUAAGGAUAAAAACACUUAAAAAAGGGAUUGCUCAGCAUUUGCUGUCUUGAUUGUAUUUUGUUGUUUUACCUGCCACUCUUUGUAGUUCAGCAGUGCAACACAUGUGGCACUGCACAAAUAUACAAACAACUCCAAAUAAUGGCAAUCCUGUGGUUUCAAAUUCCUUACAAAAUGUAAUUUUUUGUCAAUUGUGUAAUAUUUGUGAACAAAAUAAAUGUAAUUAAUUCACAAAAAAAUGAGAUGCAUAAUAAAGCAUUUUUACAUUAUGAAAUGAAACACUCGGAAACUUGUCAUAGUCUGGUCAAAACAGCUGCAACGCAAGUAGUAAAUAAUAUGGGUUCUCUCCAACAGUUUGUGGGAUUAAUAGGUUGCUACUGAACAGGUAUAAAACUUAUCAUCUUUGGUUUAUUUAUCUUCAGUAAAAGAAGGCCCAUCAAUCUAAAAAUGCCUUCAAAUAGUAGCAACUACACCGCAGGCAAUACAUUUAACAUGACCUUGGUCACUGCCAGCUGGCCAAGCUCUUUAGAAGGGCAUGUUCCUUGCACUGUCCUCUUUAUCUUCACAUUCCAAUGAUAGAGACACACAUCUGGUUGCUGAGACCCAAGAGGGGAAACUGCGAAUGGGCAGAAAGUAUUUUUAUCUGUAACCAGAGAUGGUCACUUUAUUAAGCAAGUCAGUCAGAAAAGUCAAGGACUCUGUCAGUUGUGUCUAACAGUAUGACAUGUCUGGACUAAGCAGACACAUUCAUUCUGACCCAGCUAGAAAUUCUUCCCCACUAUUAGACAGGCAGAACUGUAAAUUGGCAAGUGAUGUACUGACCUGUGUUAAGGACAUGUUGAUACUAGCCUGUUAUGACAGCUUUUAGCUCCAAAGAAAAUAGCUUUGUCUUCUGUUGUAUACUAUUUCAUCAGUGUUGAUCUAUCUAUGAUUAUGUAUGUGUUACUUGAGUUUGCGACACAUAUGUGCAGGGCUGAGGAACCUGUUCAUGCAUUGCUUCUUUUCCAUUAAACAGGAUUUUCUGGUUCC